GGGAGAGCUGAGUGCGCUCCGGGAAAUGUUUCUUCAGCCUCCAGGGGCGAAGGGCUGGCAAUAGAGAAUCACAUCCUGGGCCCUGCAGUUUUCUACCAGUCACAGAGCAUGCUGGAUGCCUGCGGCCAUCUCCCAGCACCCCCACUGCCUUUCACCUUCCUAGAAACAGUGCCAGCAUAUGAAAUACAGUGUGCACGAGCCAGUAUCACUGGGACACCUGCCCUGGGAUUGAAGCAGAAUCAAUGAAUUAAGGAAUGGGAACUUUCGAAAACCAUAUGGAAGGCGAGGAGAUAUUGGCAGACUCAACAUCAUUUUCCUUUGAGAAGCAACACCAAGGUUUGGAAAUCCCAAGAGACGUUUCAAGAUCAUAACACCCUUGAGAAAAUGAGCUCAUUUGUCUCUUGGCAGUAUCUCCUCUGUUUGGCCCUCAGACUGACUUAUAUCAAGAAAAAUAGCUCUAGUGGUUCCAGAUUUCACAUGGACCUUGUCGUUAGCGGAAGAGAAUCUUCCCAACAUUCUAAACGAAAGUCCUAAAAUUCACCUUAAUUGGAUCACAUCCUCUUCUUCCUAUCCUCCAACCCCAGCCCCGGCAAAUGAUGUGACAAGGGGAAAUGAAAUGUGCCAAUGAUUGGAUUAAAUGAACCACAGCUUGAGGUGGGAUCAGCUUUCCCCAGAGUACUUAUGGAAAGGAUAUUAUCCAAGUUAAAAUCUGGAUGCUGUUCAUAAUGGAAAAACAAGCAAUGAAUGUUGGUUAUGGAGCCAACGGUGUCCAUUCCACCAUCUUUAAGGCCCAAUUAAAGACCAUCUGUUUGACAAUGUCAGUUUCUAUAAACACAGCUUUGACUUGCUUUAUACUGAGUCUUUUAUGCUUGUAUGUCUUGCCUCCCUAAGCAGAUUAUAAGUUCCUUGAAGUCAGGGACAUUGUAUUCCUAUUCAGCACUGAGCUGCAUACAGAGAGCACUCCAUGAAAUAGUUUUAUCGUUGAUUCCAUGCUACAUAUUUGGAAAGUGAAAAUAGGUGGUUGAAAGAAGUGGGAUGGGUAAAAAAGAGUAUCUCAACUUUUAGAACUGCCCUUGGGAGAGAGUAACAAGUUAAGCAAUGGAUCUCUAGGUGAAAUAACUCAGGUAGUUUCUCUCCCUAAAACAGGAGCCCUCAGAAUCCCAUUUUUGCUUUCAGAAUGAGUUUGAGGGCAUUAUGAUUUUUUAAUAGCUGUGUUCAAUAAUUAUAUUUAUGUCUCUAGGAGGGGCUUUCUUAGCCUUAACAAUCUCAAUUUAAGUUUUUUUAUUUCCUUAGGAUCUUCCAAAGUGUUUUCUCUAAAGUGGCAUCUGGGAAAACACAUAUAUAUAUUCAUUUAUUUCAUAACUUCUCCCUUCACGUCUUUAUUGCUUCUCUAACUAUUAGAUCUCAACAUGCUCUUGCAAACAGGACUUAUUGACAGUCUUCAUCCUUUGCAAGUUGAAGUGAUGACAGACCCACUACUUUGAUAAAAAUGUUUUGUUAUUUCUAUACAUAAUAUUUUAUUAUUGGAAACUACACAUUAUGUAUUUUGCUGAAAUGUUAUGACUUGAAAUUUGGUUAUCUGAUAUGUCUCUCAUAAUAAAGGCUUCACAGUACAACUUUU